rnacentral:rRNA from 1 species
AUGAGAACUUCAGUAACAGCACAUGGUGACGCAUUAGAGAUAUGCAUAUGGGCAAGGCAUUGCGAUGCAUUCAGUGCACGGGGUCUUCCGCUUAGCUGCAAGGUCCGCGUUUCGCUGAGCCCGCAAUGCCUUCCUCUCAUCCGGUGGUAUGCUCUGCCUGCGUGCUCUUCGACGGGCGUUCAUCUCUUGCCUCUGCUCAACUGGUAUAUUUUUACUCGCUGCCCUUCUACGGGCAUUCCUCUCAUCCGGUGGUAUGCUCUGCCUGCGUGCUCUUCGACGAGCGUUCAUCUCUUGCCUCUGCUCAACUGGUAUAUUUUUACUCGCUGCCCUUCUACGGGCAUUCAUCUCUUGCCUCUCCUUGGUUGUCAGAUUUUUUCUGACAGCCCUUUGGCUUGCAUUCCUAUCUUCAAUAGUUCUAUUUUUUCUAGAUGCUCUUCGACGUGCAUUCACUUCUUCCCUUUGCUCGGGUGUUAG